rnacentral:rRNA from 1 species
UACAGAGGUCUCAAGCGUUGUUCGGAUUCAUUGGGCGUAAAGGGUGCGUAGGCGGCGCGGUAAGUCGGGUGUGAAAUCUCGGAGCUUAACUCCGAAACUGCAUUCGAUACUGCCGUGCUUGAGGACUGGAGAGGAGACUGGAAUUUACGGUGUAGCGGUGAAAUGCGCAGAUAUCAGGAGGAACACCAAUGGCGAAGGCAGCUCGCUGGAACGGUACUGACGCUGAGACACGAAGGCCAGGGGAGCAAACGGG